rnacentral:rRNA from 1 species
AUUGAACGCUGGCGGAAUGCUUUACACAUGCAAGUCGAACGGCAGCACGGACUUCGGUCUGGUGGCGAGUGGCGAACGGGUGAGUAAUGUAUCGGAACGUGCCCAGUCGUGGGGGAUAACGUAGUGAAAAUUACGCUAAUACCGCAUACGAUCUAUGAAUGAAAGCGGGGGAUCGCAAGACCUCGCGCGAUUGGAGCGGCCGAAAUCAGAUUAGGUAGUUGGUGGGGUAAAGGCCCACCAAGCCAACGAUCUGUAGCUGGUCUGAGAGGAUGACCAGCCACACUGGAACUGAGACACGGUCCAGACUGCUACGGGAGGCAGCAGUGGGGAAUUUUGGACAAUGGGCGAAAGCCUGAUCCAGCCAUUCCGCGUGCAGGAUGAAGGCCCUCGGGUUGUAAACUGCUUUUGUACAGAACGAAAAGGUUUCUACUAAUACUAGGAGCUCAUGACGGUACUGUAAGAAUAAGCACCGGCUAACUACGUGCCAGCCGCCGCGGUAA